rnacentral:rRNA from 1 species
GACGAACGCUGGCGGCAUGCUUAACACAUGCAAGUCGAACGGAAAGGCCCUGCUUUUGUGGGGUGCUCGAGUGGCGAACGGGUGAGUAACACGUGAGUAACCUGCCCUUGACUUUGGGAUAACUUCAGGAAACUGGGGCUAAUACCGGAUAGGAGCUCCUGCUGCAUGGUGGGGGUUGGAAAGUUUCGGCGGUUGGGGAUGGACUCGCGGCUUAUCAGCUUGUUGGUGGGGUAGUGACUUACCAAGGCUUUGACGGGUAGCCGGCCUGAGAGGGUGACCGGCCACAUUGGGACUGAGAUACGGCCCAGACUCCUACGGGAGGCAGCAGUGGGGAAUAUUGCACAAUGGGCGGAAGCCUGAUGCAGCAACGCCGCGUGCGGGAUGACGGCCUUCGGGUUGUAAACCGCUUUCGCCUGUGACGAAGCGUGAGUGACGGUAAUGGGUAAAGAAGCACCGGCUAACUACGUG